GACGAACGCUGGCGGCGUGCUUAACACAUGCAAGUCGAACGGAAAGGCCCUGCUUUUGUGGGGUGCUCGAGUGGCGAACGGGUGAGUAACACGUGAGUAACCUGCCCUUGACUUUGGGAUAACUUCAGGAAACUGGGGCUAAUACCGGAUAGGAGCUCCUGCUGCAUGGUGGGGGUUGGAAAGUUUCGGCGGUUGGGGAUGGACUCGCGGCUUAUCAGCUUGUUGGUGGGGUAGUGGCUUACCAAGGCUUUGACGGGUAGCCGGCCUGAGAGGGUUACCGGCCACAUGGGGACUGAGAGACGGCCCAGACUCCUACGGGAGGCAGCAGGGGGGAAUAUUGCACAAUGGGCGGAAGCCUGAUGCAGCAACGCCGCGUGCGGGAUGACGGCCUUCGGGUUGUAAACCGCUUUCGCCUGUGACGAAGCGUGAGUGACGGUAAUGGGUAAAGAAGCACCGGCUAACUACGUG
rnacentral:rRNA from 1 species